rnacentral:tRNA from 3 species
UAAGGGUUAAAGCCCCUUCAACUCCU